UGCCCGGUCGUCUAAUGGCAGGACAGCGGCCUUUGGAGCCGUACGUGGAGGUUCGAGUCCUCCCCGGGCAGCCA
rnacentral:tRNA from 2 species